GUGAGGAGAAAUACUUGAACACAUAUAUGUUCACGUUUUCACAGGUAUACACAAGCAAUUUUACAAGUAGUUAUUUUUAUCCACUUAUUUUCACUUGUCUAGCUCUUUUUAAACAACUAUGCUUCCUUGCUCUGAAAUGUGUUUGUUUAAUCUGGUUGUACACAAUGCAGCCAAAUGCAAUGUUAUACAAGUGUAAUAAUAGUAUUUAUGGAUGCAUCUUAUAUAUUAUUUAUACAGUCUCACCAAAAAUGUUUUUUAGCUAACUGUACUAAACUAAACUCUUCAAUGAAAACUAUGUUUUGUGGAGCUUUUCAUUACUCUCUCACCUCCAUCACACCAGCAAUUUCAGUGGCAGUUUUCUCUCCAUUACUACUGCUAUUACACAGAGAAACCCUGUCAGAGAAGCCUGUCUUUGCAGGUAGCUCAUUGACUAUGCAGACAGUUAGUCACCAUCCAGGCUUAUAACAUUAAAUAGUUAUUUUGUGCAAUUACACAGAACAACCUAAACAACUCUUCUGGUUUGUCUCCUUUCAUAGAGCCUGCUGGAGUACAUAAUUGCUUUUUGAAGCUGGAAUGCAGAGAAUGAACUGAAUGUUUUCUUCCUGGUUUGUGCUUGUAUUUGUUUACAAAGCCUUGUUGAAGUCAUCGUCUACCAAGGACUAAGAAAGAAAUGAGUGCUUUUCAAAAUCCUCCAAGAUAAUUUGCUACUUGAUGCUGUUUUGAGGCUUUAUUUGCACGGAGACCGUCGAGACACCUCGAGAUGAAGUAAAAGCUGUCACCAUACACACAGUACUGUGCUGGAGCUGGAGGAUCAUACCCUGCCUGCCCGCCAGCCUCUCUGCCAUGUUUACCUCCAGCCAUUGACCUCUGCUCUGCCUCGUCACAUCAGCCCACAGCUUCCCUCAUUUCCCCUCUGCCUCCAUCAUCUGGAUCUUCCUCUCAACCUCAUUAAUUUCCUUGGAAAACUGAACAAUAAAUUAUUUCUUUAGGAAAUCCACUCCCUGUCUUUGUCUUUGUCCGCAUUUGAGUCCCACCUUAGGGAAAGAGACUUUGAGCUUAGGUAAUGUAAGGAGUAAUGGUCCCUUUUCUGUUCGGAAACUCAUAACUGCUU